UGCGAGUGCCGGAAAUGUGGACUGACCACAGC
rnacentral:piRNA from 1 species